CUGGUGCCCAUGACACAAAGAAGGGUGCUCCUGGAGAGGAAAGAGAUCCUGUGCCUCAGUCUGCAACAGGGAUGGACCUGGUCACCAUGCAAGCCCCUGGGCAGAAUGGUUACUUCUUCAGCUCUCUCCUGCGAUGGGCUUUGGGGGUAAGCCCCUACCCUGCUGCAAGGGAGGAGAAAGUGAGCCUCCCAGGGCUCCCUUUGGGAAGGUGGGAGGCUGGCUUUGCAGGAGGUGCCUGCCUUGUUCCCUGGUUCCUGAGCCUUCAACACCGAUGUUACUGACGUGUAACAGUGUGGGAUGUGUGAGGAGAGCUGACAGGCAACGCAGACACAACAGCCGCAUGGAAGUGUAUUGUAGUGGCAGCAAGAGGAACUACAAAGUUCUCCACUCUGCUGGGUGGGGAACCAGUACAGCAGGACCAGUGGUAUAUCCUGGUUAUGUAAAGCUGGUGAUGAAAAGCUUGCGCUGGGCUCUGUUGUUAAGCUAUUGGGAUGUACUUAUUAAGAAGAAAUGGGAAGACGGAGGCUGGCACAGACACUGAUGGUCUGUUUUCUGUCUUUUUCCCUGAAAAUAAGAGAAAUGAAACCAAGGGCUCCUGAAAUCUGUGUUCAUGAGUACCCACCUGAUGGUACCUGAUCGCACUACUCUUCUUUAGUGAUCCUGCUCCCUGGGUGCCUUAGGAAAAGUCUACAAGAAGGAAGAAAUUAUCUGCAGUUGCCAUCAGUGAACCCAAAGUGAAGCUGUGGCAGAGUGGGCCAGACUCAUCCAUGCCAAAAUGCCAUUGCAGCCACCCAUGGUGGCCUCUCAGCUUUUGCUUCUCGUCCUGAAGCUGGGAUAAAAAAAACAUCCAAAGGAGGCUCCCAGGAUCGCUCUCAUCAUACAGAUCCUCUGAACUGCAAAGGAAUAAACUGCAAUAUCAGGCAUGCCCAUGGUCUGUUUCAGAGCUGGCUAAAAAGGCAUGGCAGAUUCAGGUCCUUGCUGAACUGUGACCCCCUGCUGCCUUCCUCCCGCUUGCUCCCUCCUCGCUGCCCACCCACAUCUCCUGCUGUGCGUGCAGAGCGGUGUCACACCGCUUGAAACCUUGCUGAUCACUGACAUUAUGUGAGGGAUAAAAUCCUGCCUUUAGGGACUGAGAUCCCGUGCCCACCACAGAGCACAGCCAGUGUGGAUGUCUCCUUCCAUCUGAGUGACUUGGCUGACCCGUGGAUAUUUCUGGUGUGCAGCUGGGUGUCAAGCCAGCCAAACAGUUGGAGUUACCUUCCUUUUGUUUUCUUUCAUUUCAGAACAGAAAGAAAUGCAAAGCUGGACAUACAGCUCAGUGAUGUUGAUGCACUGACAUUUUAUUUUGCGAAGCAACAUAAAAUAAGGUGCUCCUCCCUAUCACCAGGUCCUUAAAAGCCUCGGGAAUGGAAAUUUAUGUGACUCUUAACCCCUUGUGUUGUUACAGACGGUGACCCCAAGUAGUUUAAUGUGGCUUUUAAAUAGCAGCUCCCCUCCCCGCUCUGUCAGGAGGCUGCUCGUGGGAGAUAAGGAGGCAGGAGCCAGUCCCAGCCUCACCUCUGCUGCCGAUGGCAGACAGGCAUCCGGGGCUGCUCCUACCAGCCCUGGGAACGGAGUGCUCACCUGCCUCUGGACAGAAGGACCAGAUUCAUGUUAUCUUCACCCUUUCCUCUGCAUUUAUAAGAAGGCAGUUUCCAUUUUUUGUUUCCUCUGCAGAACUGUUCUUUGGAGGACAGCCCUGGGCCAAGUCUAGCUGAACACUUUUUUUUUUUUUUUUUUUUCUCGUGGUGCUAAUUACUGGCUUAAGGCUCAUGAACAUUAUCUUUGCAGGUUCUAGAAAUGUGCUUUUGUAUUUCUCAUGCAUAUUUUUCAGUAGCAGUCAGAGAUGUUUUUCCUGGCAUUUGGUAACAACUUCACGAGGUGUCCCUUCCCUCUGUCCCACCCGGUGCUGACUGCAGUGCUGCCCCUGCCUUCCUGCUGGCUCACAGGCUGGUGGCAGCGAAGGCAACAUCACCCAAAUGGCAUGGGAGAAAAAAAGCAGCUAUCAUUAACCAUGCUGUGUUCCUCAUUGCAACACCCUGGGCUUCGGUACUUCUGUUUCUUCCCUUUUCUCCCAGAUCUUCCUAGCCAGCUUCAGUACAAAGCAGCCUUGCUUAAAUCACUGCCGCAAAGAGCUGUGCACAGAAAUCCCUGGCCACAAUGCUGAGUAGUGGGGAAGCAGGGCUGAACUUUGAAAGAAGUAAAGGUCUGAGUGUAUUGCUGCAGCAGAAAAAUACCAAAUGCAAUUAUUUAAGGAGAAAAGAUGAGUUCUGACAGCCGACCUGAGCUCCGGCGGUGAGUCAGGCUCCCCUGCCACUGGGGAGACAGAGCACCAUAUGACCAAAAUCGAUGUUCUGGACUUUGUGAUGUAGUUACUGGGAUUAUUAAGAUGACUGGAUUUGCCCAUUGGAGUGUACAGGGUGAAACAUAUGGUACUAAACAAGCCAGCAAUGCAGUCAAGGGGCUUCUACACGAAGGGAUUUGUAUGUAAACAUAGCGGGGCCAGGCAAAAGCCGUGCUCCCGUAAGUUAAUUUAGCUGUGCUUGCCGUAAUGACAACGUAAUUAUAGGAGUGCAAUUCAGGAGAUUUAUCUUUUUAAUUAGUAAACUCCUGUGUCCUUCAAAAAUCUGCUUUGGCAGCUACGGAGCCACCUGCG